rnacentral:rRNA from 1 species
AGCGAACGCUGGCGGCAGGCCUAACACAUGCAAGUCGAACGAACCUUUCGGGGUUAGUGGCGGACGGGUGAGUAACACGUGGGAACGUGCCUUUAGGUUCGGAAUAACUCAGGGAAACUUGUGCUAAUACCGAAUGUGCCCUUCGGGGGAAAGAUUAAUCGCCUUUAGAGCGGCCCGCGUCUGAUUAGCUAGUUGGUUGAGGUAAUGGCUCACCAAGGCGACGAUCAGCAGCUGGUCUGAGAGGAUGAUCAGCCACAUUGGGACUGAGACACGGCCCAAACUCCUACGGGAGGCAGCAGUGGGGAAUCUUGCGCAAUGGGCGAAAGCCUGACGCAGCCAUGCCGCGUGAAUGAUGAAGGUCUUAGGAUUGUAAAAUUCUUUCACCGGGGACGAUAAUGACGGUACCCGGAGAAGAAGCCCCGGCUAACUUCGU